rnacentral:rRNA from 1 species
AGAGUUUGAUCCUGGCUCAGAACGAACGCUGGCGGCGCGUCUUAAGCAUGCAAGUCGAACGGCAAGGAAGUGCUUGCACUUCCCUAGAGUGGCGGACUGGUGAGUAACACGUGGGUGACAUACCUUUUAGUUGGGGAUAGCUAUUAGAAAUAGUAGAUAAUACCGAAUGUGACCAUUACAGUUAGAGUGUAAUGAGGAAAGGAGCUAAGGCUCCGCUAGAAGAUUGGCCCGCGGCCCAUUAGCUAGUUGGUGAGGUAACGGCCCACCAAGGCGAUGAUGGGUAUCCGGCCUGAGAGGGUGAUCGGACACAUUGGGACUGAGAUACGGCCCAGACUCCUACGGGAGGCAGCAGCUAAGAAUAUUCCACAAUGGACGAAAGUCUGAUGGAGCGACGCCGCGUGGAUGACGAAGGCCGAAAGGUUGUAAAAUCCUUUUAAACUGGAAGAAUAAUCAUGGUAGGGAAUGACCGUGAGGUGACCGUACAGUUUGAAUAAGCAACGGCUAAUUACGUGCCAGCAGCCGCGGUAACACGUAAGUUGCGAGCGUUGUUCGGAAUUAUUGGGCGUAAAGGGCAUGUAGGCGGUUUUGAAAGCUUGAUGUGAAAUCCCACAGCUUAACUGUGGAACUGCAUUGAGAACUACAAGACUAGAGUUACUGAAGGGAAACUAGAAUUCCAAGUGUAGGGGUGAAAUCUGUAGAUAUUUGGAAGAAUACCAAUGGCGAAGGCAAGUUUCUGGCAGAUAACUGACGCUGAGGUGCGAAGGUGCGGGGAGCAAACAGGAUUAGAUACCCUGGUAGUCCGCACAGUAAACGAUGUACACUAGGUGUUUGACCAUGAGGUUGGGUGCCAAAGCUAACGUGAUAAGUGUACCGCCUGGGAAGUAUGCCCGCAAGGGUGAAACUCAAAGGAAUUGACGGGGGCCCGCACAAGCGGUGGAGCAUGUGGUUUAAUUCGAUGGUACGCGAGGAACCUUACCU